rnacentral:tRNA from 1 species
CGGGCGGCUAGCUCAGUUGGGAGAGUUCCGGCCUUUCACGCCGGAGGUCGCGGGUUCGAGUCCCGUCCGCUCCGCCA